rnacentral:rRNA from 1 species
AAAUUGAAGAGUUUGAUCAUGGCUCAGAUUGAACGCUGGCGGCAGGCCUAACACAUGCAAGUCGAGCGGUAACACAGAGAGCUUGCUCUCGGGUGACGAGCGGCGGACGGGUGAGUAAUGUCUGGGAAACUGCCUGAUGGAGGGGGAUAACUACUGGAAACGGUAGCUAAUACCGCAUAACGUCGCAAGACCAAAGUGGGGGACCUUCGGGCCUCAUGCCAUCAGAUGUGCCCAGAUGGGAUUAGCUAGUAGGUGGGGUAAUGGCUCACCUAGGCGACGAUCCCUAGCUGGUCUGAGAGGAUGACCAGCCACACUGGAACUGAGACACGGUCCAGACUCCUACGGGAGGCAGCAGUGGGGAAUAUUGCACAAUGGGCGCAAGCCUGAUGCAGCCAUGCCGCGUGUAUGAAGAAGGCCUUCGGGUUGUAAAGUACUUUCAGCGAGGAGGAAGGCGUUAAGGUUAAUAACCUUAGCGAUUGACGUUACUCGCAGAAGAAGCACCGGCUAACUCCGUGCCAGCAGCCGCGGUAAUACGGAGGGUGCAAGCGUUAAUCGGAAUUACUGGGCGUAAAGCGCACGCAGGCGGUCUGUCAAGUCGGAUGUGAAAUCCCCGGGCUCAACCUGGGAACUGCAUUCGAAACUGGCAGGCUAGAGUCUUGUAGAGGGGGGUAGAAUUCCAGGUGUAGCGGUGAAAUGCGUAGAGAUCUGGAGGAAUACCGGUGGCGAAGGCGGCCCCCUGGACAAAGACUGACGCUCAGGUGCGAAAGCGUGGGGAGCAAACAGGAUUAGAUACCCUGGUAGUCCACGCCGUAAACGAUGUCGACUUGGAGGUUGUGCCCUUGAGGCGUGGCUUCCGGAGCUAACGCGUUAAGUCGACCGCCUGGGGAGUACGGCCGCAAGGUUAAAACUCAAAUGAAUUGACGGGGGCCCGCACAAGCGGUGGAGCAUGUGGUUUAAUUCGAUGCAACGCGAAGAACCUUACCUACUCUUGACAUCCAGAGAACUUAGCAGAGAUGCUUUGGUGCCUUCGGGAACUCUGAGACAGGUGCUGCAUGGCUGUCGUCAGCUCGUGUUGUGAAAUGUUGGGUUAAGUCCCGCAACGAGCGCAACCCUUAUCCUUUGUUGCCAGCGGUCCGGCCGGGAACUCAAAGGAGACUGCCAGUGAUAAACUGGAGGAAGGUGGGGAUGACGUCAAGUCAUCAUGGCCCUUACGAGUAGGGCUACACACGUGCUACAAUGGCAUAUACAAAGAGAAGCGACCUCGCGAGAGCAAGCGGACCUCAUAAAGUAUGUCGUAGUCCGGAUUGGAGUCUGCAACUCGACUCCAUGAAGUCGGAAUCGCUAGUAAUCGUAGAUCAGAAUGCUACGGUGAAUACGUUCCCGGGCCUUGUACACACCGCCCGUCACACCAUGGGAGUGGGUUGCAAAAGAAGUAGGUAGCUUAACCUUCGGGAGGGCGCUUACCACUUUGUGAUUCAUGACUGGGGUGAAGUCGUAACAAGGUAACCGUAGGGGAACCUGCGGUUGGAUCACCUCCUUACCUUAAAGAA